rnacentral:lncRNA from 1 species
UGAAAACUUCCUUUGAAGCCUGCUUUCACGUAGUUUCUUCAUACAAUGGCUUGUAUUACCCCUUGGCUGUUAGCAACCAGAGAACCGUAGGGUACUCAUUCGAAGUUCUAGCUUCUGUUAAAAGAAAAAUAAAAAUUUAUAGCUUUUAUGGUUUCACAGACCAUUAUGAAAUAUUGACUUAUCAUUGAUACAAAGAGGACAAUAUACUUCGGUUACAAUUUCAAGCUGCUCACAUCUCGUUGACCUUGCAAACGCACAUCAUAUGGGUAGAAACAUUAUGGUAAACAUGUUGGAACUUUAGGUGAAAUGGUGGAGGGACGCUAAUUAAGGCGACCCACCACUUACUGUCUUCUUGUGGCCUCCAAUCCCACCACCGCCUCCAAAUCCACCGCCGCCUCCAAACCCACCACCAUUGCCAAAGCCACCGCCAGCUCCGCCACCGUAUCCGCCGCCAAACCCGCCACCUCCUCCAAGGCCGCCACCUGCACCACCACCAUAACCACCACCGGCACCAGCGCCAAUGCCGCCACCUACGCCGCCCCCAUAGCCACCACCAGCACCACCUCCAUGCCCACCACCUACGCCGCCUCCAUAGCCACCACCAGCCCCACCUCCAUGCCCACCACCUACGCCGCCUCCAUAGCCACCACCAGCACCACCUCCAUCGUCCGCCACCGGCACCACCUCCAUANNN